rnacentral:rRNA from 1 species
CAGCGCCCCGAGUGGUGCUCGCGAUUAUUGGGCCUAAAGCGUUCGUAGCCUGUUUGGUAAAUUCCUUGUGAAAUCGUCGUGCUUAACACGACGGCGUGCAGGGAACACUGCCAGACUUGGGACCGGGAGGAGUCUGAGGUAUGCCCUGGGGACUGGUAAAAUGGGAUAAUCCAGGGUAGACCGCCGAUGGCGAAGGCAUCAGACCAGAACGGAUCCGACGGUGAGGAACGAAAGCCAGGGGAGCGAACCGGAUUAGAUACCCGAGUAGUCC